rnacentral:rRNA from 1 species
ACAGUGGACGCGAGCAUCUUUGUUGUAAGUGUUUAAGAGCGUACGGUGGAUGCCUUGGCACCAGGAGCCGAUGAAGGACGUAGGAGGCUGCGAUAAGCCUCGGGGAGCUGUCAACCGAGCUGAGAUCCGAGGAUGUCCGAAUGGGGAAACCCAGCCACAGUGAUGUGUGGUUACCCGCGCCUGAAUAUAUAGGGCGUGAGGGGAACGUGGGGAAGUGAAACAUCUCAGUACCCACAGGAAGAGAAAACAACAUGUGAUUCCGUGAGUAGUGGCGAGCGAAAGCGGAAGAGGCUAAACCAUGGGUGUGAUAGCCGGCGGGCGUUGCAUUCGUGGGGUGUGGGAUCCGUCUUGUCAAUUCUGCCGGAUUGGCCGACAGUGAGAAAUCAUCGUGUUAGUCGAAGUGGUCUGGAACGGCCUGUCGUAGAGGGUGAGAGUCCCGUAGACGAAAACAUGGUGACUGUCGUGACGGACACCCGAGUAGCAGCGGGCCCGUGAAAUCUGCUGUGAAUCUGUCGGGACCACCCGAUAAGCCUGAAUACUCCCUGGUGACCGAUAGCGGACUAGUACCGUGAGGGAAAGGUGAAAAGUACCCCGGGAGGGGAGUGAAAUAGUACCUGAAACCGUGCGCUUACAAUCCGUCAGAGCCUGCGCCACUUCGGUGGGUGGGUGAUGGCGUGCCUUUUGAAGAAUGAGCCUGCGAGUUAGCGGCAUGUCGCGAGGUUAACCCGUGUGGGGUAGCCGUAGCGAAAGCGAGUCCGAAUAGGCGUUUGUAGUGGCAUGUUCUAGACCCGAAGCGGAGUGAUCUACCCAUGGCCAGGGUGAAGCGACGGUAAGACGUCGUGGAGGCCCGAACCCACUUAGGUUGAAAACUGAGGGGAUGAGCUGUGGGUAGGGUGAAAGGCCAAUCAAACUCCGUGAUAGCUGGUUCUCCCCGAAAUGCAUUUAGGUGCAGCGUCGCGUGUUUCACUCUGGAGGUAGAGCUACUGGAUGGCCGAUGGGCCCCACAAGGUUACUGACGUCAGCCAAACUCCGAAUGCCAGAGUGUGAGAGCGCGGCAGUGAGACUGCGGGGGAUAAGCUUCGUAGUCGAGAGGGAAACAGCCCAGAUCGCCGGCUAAGGCCCCUAAGCGUGUACUAAGUGGAAAGGAUGUGGGGUCGCGAAGACAACCAGGAGGUUGG